ensembl:lncRNA
GUCCAGGCACACCAUGGCCCUGUUGAUCCAGGUCAGCAGGAGGAGAGGAUGCUGGUCUAAUUAGCAGCAGAGGAAUCUUCUGUCGGCCCAACACCUGUCACAACAGGCUCAACACUGCCCUCUGCUUUCCGGGAGAGGAAGACAAUCAAGGUGUCUACACCAAGUGAAUGUGAAGCAGUCCCCUUGGCCGUGGAAAUAUUAUGUUGACGGAUGUGCUGUGUCGCUGGGACUCCCUGGAUGGAGGCAGCUGUCAAGCCCGAGAUGAUAACAUUAAGGCGAGGGAAAGUGAUGACAAAUGCCUGUUAUCAGCGAACGAG